rnacentral:rRNA from 1 species
AGUCAAGUAAUUAAGUGCAUGUGGUGGAUGCCUUGGCAGUCAGAGGCGAUGAAAGACGUGAUAGCCUGCGAAAAGCUCCGGGGAGGCGGCAAAUAUCCUUUGAUCCGGAGAUGUCUGAAUGGGGGAACCCACCUACUUUAAGGUAGGUAUUGCAACAUGAAUACAUAGUGUUGCAAGGCGAACGAGGGGAAGUGAAACAUCUCAGUACCCUUAGGAAAAGAAAUCAAUUGAGAUUCCCUCAGUAGCGGCGAGCGAA